rnacentral:lncRNA from 1 species
UUUAAAAGGAAAAUACUAAACGCCGGGAAGGUUGAGAGAAUCCUGAGAGAAAUGGCAGUUUGUGUUGCCCUUUCGUUCUCUCGGCUCCCCCCCUACGUGACUAAGAGAAAUAUGUCCCCCACGUGAAAAAGCACUCCAUUUCAAUUCAUUUUCCUUCUUCGCUUUCACAGCUCCUUUCCAGCACUCCCUUUCAACUCCUUUUCCUUUCUAUUUUCAACUCAUUUUCCAGCACUCCCACAUGAACUCAAACUCCUUUUUAUUUUGUUCAUCCUUUUGUUCACUCCAGCAACAACUCGCUUCGUCUCAGCCUUCCCGACAUUACAGUAGCUUCGUCUCCGUCUUCUCUCGCUCCAGAUCUAAUCGGUGGUCAAAAACGAGUUUCCUCUCACUCCCUCGGAGGGAUGGCAAUGGGGAGGGGAGGGGAGGGGACCAAUCUCCCCAUACCCAUUCCCGAUAUUUUGCGUAUGUCCCCGUCCCCGUCAUAAUUGCUUGAAAGAUCCCCAUCCCCUCCCCUCCCCGAAUAAUAACAGAGGAUUCCCGAGAGUCCCCGGUCCCCGAAUAAU